rnacentral:rRNA from 1 species
AGCAGCCGCGGUAAUUCCAGCUCCAAUAGCGUAUAUUAAAGUUGUUGCAGUUAAAAAGCUCGUAGUUGAAUUUCGGGGUUAGUAGGUUGGUCAUGCCUCUGGUAUGUACUGGUCUCACUGAUUCCUCCUUCCUGAUGAACCUUAAUGCCAUUAAUUUGGUGUUUUGGGGAAUUUGGACUGUUACUUUGAAAAAAUUAGAGUGUUUAAAGCAAGCUAACGCUUGAAUACAUUAGCAUGGAAUAAUGAAAUAGGACGUUCGAUCCUAUUUUGUUGGUUUCUAGGAUUGGCGUAAUGAUUAAUAGGGAUAGUUGGGGGCAUUAGUAUUCAAUUGUCAGAGGUGAAAUUCUUGGAUUUAUUGAAGACUAACUACUGCGAAAGCAUUUGCCAAGGAUGUUUUCAUUAAUCAAGAACGAAAGUUAGGGGAUCGAAGACGAUCAGAUACCGUCGUAGUCUUAACCAUAAACUAUGCCGACUAGGGAUCGGAUGAUGUUAAUUUUUUAAUGACUCAUUCGGCGCCUUA